rnacentral:rRNA from 1 species
GCAGUCGACGAGACCUUCGGGUCUAGUGGCGCACGGGUGCGUAACGCUUGGGAAUCUGCCCUCUGGUACGGAAUAACUCAGGGAAACUUGAGCUAAUACCGUAUAAUGACUUCGGUCCAAAGAUUUAUCGCCUGAGGAUGAGCCCGCGUAGGAUUAGCUUGUUGGUGAGGUAAAAGCUCACCAAGGCGACGAUCCUUAGCUGGUCUGAGAGGAUGAUCAGCCACACUGGGACUGAGACACGGCCCAGACUCCUACGGGAGGCAGCAGUGGGGAAUAUUGGACAAUGGGCGAAAGCCUGAUCCAGCAAUGCCGCGUGAGUGAUGAAGGCCUUAGGGUUGUAAAGCUCUUUUACCCGGGAUGAUAAUGACAGUACCGGGAGAAUAAGCCCCGGCUAACUCCGUGCCAGCAGCCGCGGUAAUACGGAGGGGGCUAGCGUUGUUCGGAAUUACUGGGCGUAAAGCGCACGUAAGCGGCUUUGUAAGUUAGAGGUGAAAGCCCGGGGC